GGCCAUUAAACCUCCGGCGUAGCGGCAGUGCGGGUGAUUUUGUAGCGGCGUAUGUUCACAUUAUGGAUGCUGUCCAUCAGUUGGUUGAUGAAAUCCAGGCCCAGGCCUCCGGUAAUGACGAUGUUAUUCAGCUGGAGUUACGCGGUGAUUUAUUGCAAAACAGCGCCGCAGCCGUUGUAUCGACGGAUGACGGUAUUGAUCUGAGUUUAUUUCAAGAGGUGCUCGAUCACAUCGCUCAAUCCAAUCAGUCUGUUUUGAGUGAUGAUAGUUUAGAAAUAGUCGGUCAGCUUGUACGUAAUGAGAGAGGUGGGGGUAAAAGGAGGGCUGACAAAACUCUGAACUGUGAGAUUCUAAGCAAGAAGCGCAAGUGUUUGUACAUAGUGAAUAAUCUAACCAAUCAGCUGUGCUUUGCCAUCAAUCUAGCGCAUCUCCUCAACCCUGGGUGUAGUGAUGACGAUGCUGUGAAAUUUGGUAGAAUUAUUCAGGAGCAAAGCGGUCUAACAGAUCAGACCCCUGUCUCCUUUUCACACAUUGAUAAAUUUGAAACGGUUGUGCAGAGUAAAAUAGUUGUGUUUUACAGAAACCAAGGAAGUGGGCCUAUGUCGAAAUUUGAAACACAGACCCCUCGGAGUGCAAAAACUCUAUUUUUAUUCUUAUUCCAGGGUCACUAUUAUGGGAUCAAAGAUGUCGGGAUGUUUCUUGGUGUGAAGUACUUUUGCACAUUUUGUCAUACGGGUUGCGCCUCUGAGUCCUAUCACCUCUGCCCCGCCCACUGUGGGGUAUGUCUUGACCAAGCCUGCAACACAAAGCCGAAGCAUCUCACCCGCUGUGAGGAUUGCGGACGUAUGUGUCAAUCGCUCUACUGUAUGGAGAAACACAGAGAGAAAAAAUGGCGACCUAAAGCUGGGAAAUAUGCGAGUCAAUGCGAUAUACAUAAAUAUUGCCCUGAUUGUAGUCUCCCCUAUUACAGUGCGGUAUCGCACCAGCUUCAAAGACAUAGAUGCCCGGCGUUUCAUUGUCUUAUUUGUGGAAAAGAAUAUGCUGAGAAAGAGACAUAUGAAACUCAUAAAUGUUACAUUCAACCUCUAGAGGUGUUUGAGAAAAAGAAAAAGAAAAACAAUAAAAGUAAUAAAAAGCAAAAGUCUACACCCAUUGUCAAAAGUAACACGAAGCCAAAACCGGUAAAGGUUAGUGAUGAUGAUGAUGAUGAAGACGAUGAUGAUGAUGACUACGGUGAUGUAGAUAGUGAUGAUGAUGAGGAAAAGUUAAGAGUUAUCUACUAUGAUUUUGAGACAUUUCCCACAGCCACCGGCGUCCACGUACCGUUUUAUGUCUCGGCUAUAAGCGAUCAUGGUGCUGAGUGGUGUUUUGAAGGAGUUGAAUGCUCCAAAAACUUUAUUCGGUUUUUCAGGAGACCAGAGUUCAGUAAAAUGGUUUUUGUGGCUCAUAAUUCUCG
rnacentral:lncRNA from 1 species